UACAGAGGGUGCGAGCGUUAAUCGGAAUUACUGGGCGUAAAGCGUGCGUAGACGGUUAUUUAAGUCAGAUGUGAAAGCCCCGGGCUCAACCUGGUAAUUGCAUUUGAGACUGAAUAGCUAGGGUGCGGUAGAGGGAAGCGGAAUUUCCGGUGUAGCGGUGAAAUGCGUAGAUAUCGGAAGGAACAUCAGUGGCGAAAGCGGCUUCCUGGACCAGCACCGACGUUCAGGCACGAAAGCGUGGGGAGCAAACAGG
rnacentral:rRNA from 1 species